ensembl:lncRNA
AGAGAACAAAUCAACCACCUGUACCCUCCACCAUGCAUGGCUUUGGGAUUUUGCAUUGUCUAGAUGUAUUUUUAUUUUCCUUCAGAAAUCUCCAAUCCUUUCUUCUAGAUUUUAUUUUUAAAACUGUGUUUAAAUUGUUUCUUAGGUUUUAUAAUGAUGGAUAAACUGAUCAUAAACUAUCAGACUUCUGAACUCUGCUUUUAUCCACAAGUGUCAUGCAAAUACUUAUGCAUUUGUAAUAUAAAAUAGCAAUUAUUUUGAAUUUCACAGUAAGUUUAAUCUAAGGAAACUCUCCCAGCAAAAUAAAGCAAAAACACCAGGGCAGAUCAUGCAGAGGUAGUGUCAGGGACCUCUGACACCUUUCUUAAUGAGCAGCCCCAGCAUUAGUAGAAAGACCACAUCCAGCUCUUGCUAAUCAGUUGCUGAAGUAAUGAUGGCUUCAAUCACCCUGAUGAAGCUGAUGACAAUGAUUAAGCUGGCUACUUAAAAUGUCUUCUUGAUUAAAGUGAUAUUUAAUCCAUAAAUCAUGAAUUUCACUCCUGUUUGGCUUCAUGAUGCAUCUUUCAUGAAACUCAGGUGAGAAGUUUUUCGCUCUGGUGACAAACACCUUUGAGUUCUCCCCAUUUAAUUUCACAGAAAUGGAUUGAAGGAGGCUUUGGCCACCUAAGAAAUCAGGUGUUAGAGAAUCAGCAAGUGUUCAGCUAACACCUCUUCCUGCACACAACAGCAGCCCAACAUUUUAUACUUCUAAACACAAGAAAGAGAAAUUUAGCCCUUGGCAUUGUGAAUUUUGGACCCUAGGCAGUCUCAGACUUCAAACAGACAGUAAAUGAUAAUCUUAUUUUUCCAUCAUCUUCAACUAGAUAAAAUAAAGUAUUUCUAGCACACAAAAGGAAUCUAACAAAUGCUAAUAGGGAACACUUGCUUCUCCUUCUCAAACAUGCAUGUGAUUACCUCAGUAUAAUCUAGGGGAAAAAAUGAAUACUGUUAUUUUAGAGUAGCCACAGCUAUCACUUUGAUAGUGCUGAUUGAAAUUCUCUCUGUGCACUGUUAUUCCUUCCCAGUAUUUGUGAGACAUCAGUAGAAGCAGUAUAUUCCAUCAGAAGAGUGCUAAACUGAAAGGUUUCCAAGUAGAGCUGGGGUUCCAAUUACUUCAGGUCACUGUGGCCAUAUAAAACCAGUAACUUACUCAGGAAAGGAAUUAAUAGUCCAGUACAGUAAUAUAAUUAGCCAUAGCUUUCUAUGAAAGGUUAAUCCAUUUAAUUCAUGGAGAGAAAAAGCUCUAUGCUAGAGAUUUUAAGCUAUAGUGGCUUAAUCAACUAGGUAGGAAUAAAAAGUUCAUUUGAUGUGAAACCAGAAGUUAUGUAUCUAUGCCUUGCUACAUUUACAGUAAAAUUAUCACCAAUAAAGUUAUAAAUGCUGUUCAAUUCAAAUUAAGAAAUCUUCCAGGGCAAGGCAUACCCUACAGAGUUUGGGUCAAGAAACUGUUAGAGCCAAUGGUAAAAUACAGACUGUUAAGAGCACCAGUCAAAAAGCACCAGAUUUCCUGAAGACUUGGCCAAACCUACAACUAUCUUUUAUUUUAAAGAAAGAAAAUCCUGAAUAGUUGUCAUAUCUGUUUUUCCUGGUAUAAAUCCCAACCUACACUAGCAGCUCUAUUUUUAGAAAUACAGCAGCAACCUAUCAAUCAUGACAUUGUAAAAGAACUAGAGCAUGAGAUGCCAUAGGAGAAGCCCUGAGAAGGGCAACUUUCAACUUCAUGUAGGACACCAAAGGAAAAGCAGGGGACAUGCUGCAGCUGUAGGCAUUUGUAUUUUCUGUGGAGGGGAAGCCAUAUUUUCUCUAUUCCCAUCAGCCCAGUCCAUUGCACUGGAACAUGCUCUGAAAUAAGAGAGGUAAAGGGAAGAGGCUGUUGCCAGAGAGAGAUGCAGAGUGCAGCAGGACAGGCACAUGUACACCUGCAGUACCCAGUCUGAUGGGAGAAUCAGCACCACCCCAGGCUACAGAAACUAGCUUAAAGUUAGUUCCUAAAAUUCAGUCCCUGUAGCCUUCUCUGGCCUGACUUCAGGAGAAAAAACACCAAGUAAAAUAAAUAACCAAAUUUCUCAAACUAAACAGCCUCCUUUUUUUUUGCCUCCUCUAGUUUUUUGAUUCUUGAAAAAUAAAUCAGCUCUGCUGAAAAACAUAGUCUUUCCAUUGGAUUAUUCACUUUACUUCAUCCAUCAUUCCUAGUCCAAUCCACCUUUCAGUCUGAAGAGUUAGGAGGUACAGCUGUGAGUCAAGAAUACCCAGGCACCACUAAUCACAGCCUCCACCUGCAAAUAAUCCCUCUCUGGUUUUGCUCUCAGGUGAUUAAGCUGAGUAAAAAUUUAUAAUUGGAUCCACCUGUUUUUCUGGUAGAAAAUUAUCAAGAAGUCUUAUUCUCAGAGUAGAUUCUCCCACCUAGUUCUGCAACCAGCUCCCCUUUACUCACAUGGAACUGUCCACCUGGCUUAUACUCAUCUGAAUAUGCAGAAGGUUCACAGAUUUUAUCCUCCAAGUCCUUGGCACAUGGCUAUCCCAAAAUAUGUCUUCAUUUUAAGUGAUACCCACCCUUUCCCCAGGCCUUGCCUUCCUUCAAUUCCUCUGCUGCCCACUGCCAGAGCCUCCCAAAAUGUCAGCCUUCUCUUUGCAUCUCAGCAAACCUUAUUGCAACAAUGCUGUGAGUAACACAGAUAAAAACCACAGAGGACAAACCCAGGAUUUUGUGAGUGGUUUCUCUUUUGCUGCCCGCCCAACUCUAAUUUCAUCUCUCUCUGUACUGAAGGAGUAAAAGUAAAGAGAAACAAGCUCUUUGACUUAAGGUUAAAAAGCAUUGAGAACCUCUAGAUGCAAGUGCACUAUUUUAAGUAGUAAUUAAUUGGUAGGAAACACUUUUUGGGGGGUAACAGUGCUACACCUGAGACAAAUUAGCUUCACCAUCAUCUUUGCCUCAGCUGUGCUGGAGCAGAAACAUUUUGCAAGCAAGCACUUCACUGUGACCUCCCUUGUGCAAGUCCUGGCAAAAGAUACUUACAGUAAGACUUGUUAUUUUGCACAGUACCAAUGACAUUCCUAUAAGCAUUUAGCUAGUAAACAAUUACAGAGCUUUCCAUUAAAUAAGUAGACAUAACUUUAACUGUAGCUUGAGAGGUACAUGUAGGCAUUUUUAACAGCUUGCGAUGGAUAGGUGAAGAGUACAAAUUAAAAAUAUUUAAGUGAUUUGAGGAAAGAUUUUGCUCUGCAAGUGACUGCCUAAGCAAAGUGGUUUUAGUUUUCAGGGUACAGAUUAUCCCAAGGCAUUGCUGAUGCUGUGUGAUACCUGCUGCAGCCUUGCUUCAGAAAAAACUCACAAUUAACGUGUCUUUGGCAAAGGGCAUACCAUAGGAACAUGAAAUUUUAAGUCAGUAUCAAACGUGACUCUUAACAGGAAUUGUACUAUUUUCUCUCAUAAUUCUUAUUUAUUUGAAGUUGAACCCUUGAAAGCUCACAGAGCUCCUCUGCAUGUAGGUUAUUUUCUGGGAUGGUUGGACAAUAGGCAGUGCCUAUCUAAAUAAGCUUCAGAUUUUUACAUUCUGGAAAGGAGCAAAUAAAAAUCUUACUUUUGUGUUUAGGAGAAAUCUAAGGAGAUUUUCUUUAACCAAGCAUGUAGAUUUUCGAAACAAGCAACCAUAGCUCUAAAUGGCAUAAAUACCUUAAUCCCUACUCAGUCUAAUAAACUAAGCUACUACACCAUAGAAUAAAUAAAAUACCUACUCCAGGAAAUAUUCAGCACAACCUAAAAGGAGAAAACCAAAAAAACCCAGGUGCCUUAAAAAAAAAACAACCCCACAUUUAGGAAAAAAAGCCUCCUACCACAACCAUACCUCCAGAGCUGCCUCCUCCCAGCAGGACCGGACCCUUCUGGUGCAGGCACACCAGGAGAAGAAACCUGAAAGGUGGGGAGACAAAGGGUGUCCUCAGUGGUUACAGCUGUGACUGAAACCAGGUGAGCAGCUCAACCCAACACAGGUGUGGGCUUCCUGUGGGUGGGAGCCUUAUCUGGGCAGCAUUAUACAACCACUCAAAUCUGCCCAGGGCCCCAAGCAAGGAAAACCUCCUUAAACCAGGGGACUUCAGCAUCAAACUCACCAAAGUGCCUGUGUCCCAAGGGUAUGAGGUGCCUGAAGAGCAGAUUUGAAAGUAAAGCUCCUUUUUUUUUUUGCUGUUUUGUAACAUCAGUUUGUUCAAAAGCACUUGGACUGACACUGCUCAAGUAAGGCAGAUUGCAAGCAAAAAUCAUGCAGAAGCAGAAGCCAAGUAUCAGAUGCAGAGAGCUAUUCUGAACCACACAGAAAAAGGAAAAGCCAACAGAAAAAGGCCAAGUGCAACAUGAACUUGAGGAGGUGCAAGACAGCAUCCAGGAGUAAUGGGGGAGCUGAACUGAGCUGGAGUGGAGCUGGGGAGCACCCCCAGCCCUGCACCCUUCUUCCCUUGCCUGGGUUCAGGGUGCUCAGCACACUCUGGGCAGAGCUGAUGGUAUCAGGGACCCACAAAAGCUCGGGACAUUGCCAAGGGGGCCCUGGCAUCACUAGAGGCACAUUUUGGAAGCACUUGAGCAGAAAGGCUCCUUGGGGUUUGAAUGAUUAAUAAGCUCAUCAUGGAGUGGUUCAGCACACACUUCAGGGGAUGUGCUCAAAAACAUGACCCUGGGCACAAGGGGAAGGCAGGGACAUCCAUGCCAAGCAGCACGUGACACAGUGAGGAGGGGUGGGCUCUGUACCCACUGUGUCAGCCCCUGGCUGGUGGUGGGUGUGUGACACUGAAAUUCUGCCCCAUCCCCUUGGCUGCUGCUGAGACACCUUCACUGUGUUCAGGUAAGAAGUCAUUUUGAAAAGAACCUUGGUGGGUUUUUUUUGGUUUUUUU